AACGAACGCUGGCGGCAUGCCUAACGCAUGCAAGUCGAACGAAGGCUUCGGCCUUAGUGGCGCACGGGUGAGUAACGCGUGGGAAACUGCCUAUUGGUGGGGAAAAACGACGGGAAACUGUCGCUAAUACCGCAUAAGCCCUUCGGGGGAAAGAUUUAUCGCCGAUAGAUGUGCCCGCGUCCGAUUAGCUAGUUGGUGAGGUAAUGGCUCACCAAGGCGACGAUCGGUAGCUGGUCUGAGAGGAUGAUCAGCCACACUGGGACUGAGACACGGCCCAGACUCCUACGGGAGGCAGCAGUGGGGAAUAUUGGACAAUGGGCGAAAGCCUGAUCCAGCAAUGCCGCGUGAGUGAUGAAGGCCUUAGGGUUGUAAAGCUCUUUCGGGUGGGACGAUGAUGACGGUACCACCAGAAGAAGCCCCGGCUAACUUCGUGCCAGCCGCCGCGGUAA
rnacentral:rRNA from 1 species